GCUGGCGGCGUGCCUAAUACAUGGAAGUCGAGGGGACCGACGGGAGCUUGCUCCCUUAGGUCAGCGGCGGACGGGUGAGUAACACGUGGGUAACCUGCCUGUAAGACUGGGAUAACUCCGGGAAACCGGGGCUAAUACCGGAUGCUUGAUUGAACCGCAUGGUUCAAUCAUAAAAGGCGGCUUCGGCUGCCGUUUACAGAUGGACCCGCGGCGCAUUAGCUAGUUGGUGAGGUAAUGGCUCACCAAGGCGACGAUGCGUAGCCGACCUGAGAGGGUGAUCGGCCACACUGGGACUGAGACACGGCCCAGACUCCUACGGGAGGCAGCAGUAGGGAAUCUUCCGCAAUGGACGAAAGUCUGACGGAGCAACGCCGCGUGAGUGAUGAAGGUUUUCGGAUCGUAAAGCUCUGUUGUUAGGGAAGAACAAGUACCGUUCGAAUAGGGCGGUACCUUGACGGUACCUAACCAGAAAGCCACGGCUAACUACGUGCCAGCAGCCGCGGUAAUACGUAGGUGGCAAGCGUUGUCCGGAAUUAUUGGGCGUAAAGCGCGCGCACGCGGUUUCUUAAGUCUGAUGUGAAAGCCCCCGGCUCAACCCCGGAGGGUCAUUGGAAACUGGG
rnacentral:rRNA from 1 species